rnacentral:rRNA from 1 species
GAUGAACGCUGGCGGCGUGCCUAAUACAUGCAAGUCGAGCGAACGGACGAGAAGCUUGCUUCUCUGAUGUUAGCGGCGGACGGGUGAGUAACACGUGGAUAACCUACCUAUAAGACUGGGAUAACUUCGGGAAACCGGAGCUAAUACCGGAUAAUAUUUUGAACCGCAUGGUUCAAAAGUGAAAGACGGUCUUGCUGUCACUUAUAGAUGGAUCCGCGCUGCAUUAGCUAGUUGGUAAGGUAACGGCUUACCAAGGCAACGAUGCAUAGCCGACCUGAGAGGGUGAUCGGCCACACUGGUACUGAGACACGGUCCAGACUCCUACGGGAGGCAGCAGUAGGGAAUCUUCCGCAAUGGGCGAAAGCCUGACGGAGCAACGCCGCGUGAGUGAUGAAGGUCUUCGGAUCGUAAAACUCUGUUAUUAGGGAAGAACAUAUGUGUAAGUAACUGUGCACAUCUUGACGGUACCUAAUCAGAAAGCCACGGCUAACUACGUG